rnacentral:rRNA from 1 species
GAUGAACGCUGGCGGCGUGCCUAAUACAUGCAAGUCGAGCGAACAGACGAGGAGCUUGCUUCUCUGACGUUAGCGGCGGACGGGUGAGUAACACGUGGAUAACCUACCUAUAAGACUGGGAUAACUUCGGGAAACCGGAGCUAAUACCGGAUAAUAUAUUGAACCGCAUGGUUCAAUAGUGAAAGACGGUUUUGCUGUCACUUAUAGAUGGAUCCGCGCUGCAUUAGCUAGUUGGUAAGGUAACGGCUUACCAAGGCAACGAUGCGUAGCCGACCUGAGAGGGUGAUCGGCCACACUGGAACUGAGACACGGUCCAGACUCCUACGGGAGGCAGCAGUAGGGAAUCUUCCGCAAUGGGCGAAAGCCUGACGGAGCAACGCCGCGUGAGUGAUGAAGGUCUUCGGAUCGUAAAACUCUGUUAUUAGGGAAGAACAAAUGUGUAAGUAACUAUGCACAUCUUGACGGUACCUAAUCAGAAAGCCACGGCUAACUACGUG